GCGUCGAGCGGCGGACGGGUGAGUAAUACUUAGGAAUCUACCUAGUAGUGGGGGAUAGCACGGGGAAACUCGUAUUAAUACCGCAUACGACCUACGGGAGAAAGGGGGCAGUUUACUGCUCUCGCUAUUAGAUGAGCCUAAGUCGGAUUAGCUAGAUGGUGGGGUAAAGGCCUACCAUGGCGACGAUCUGUAGCUGGUCUGAGAGGAUGAUCAGCCACACCGGGACUGAGACACGGCCCGGACUCCUACGGGAGGCAGCAGUGGGGAAUAUUGGACAAUGGGGGAAACCCUGAUCCAGCCAUGCCGCGUGUGUGAAGAAGGCCUUUUGGUUGUAAAGCACUUUAAGCAGUGAAGAAGACUCUUCGGUUAAUACCCGGAGACGAUGACAUUAGCUGCAGAAUAAGCACCGGCUAACUCUGUGCCAGCAGCCGCGGUAAUACAGAGGGUGCAAGCGUUAAUCGGAAUUACUGGGCGUAAAGCGAGCGUAGGUGGCUUGAUAAGUCAGAUGUGAAAUCCCCGGGCUUAACCUGGGAACUGCAUCUGAAACUGUUAGGCUAGAGUAGGUGAGAGGGAAGUAGAAUUUCAGGUGUAGCGGUGAAAUGCGUAGAGAUCUGAAGGAAUACCGAUGGCGAAGGCAGCUUCCUGGCAUCAUACUGACACUGAGGCUCGAAAGCGUGGGUAGCAAACAGGAUUAGAUACCCUGGUAGUCCACGCCGUAAACGAUGUCUACUAGUCGUUGGGUCCCUUGAGGACUUAGUGACGCAGCUAACGCAAUAAGUAGACCGCCUGGGGAGUACGGCCGCAAGGUUAAAACUCAAAUGAAUUGACGGGGGCCCGCACAAGCGGUGGAGCAUGUGGUUUAAUUCUAUGCAACGCGAAGAACCUUACCUGGUCUUGACAUAUCUAGAAUCCUGCAGAGAUGCGGGAGUGCCUUCGGGAAUUAGAAUACAGGUGCUGCAUGGCUGUCGUCAGCUCGUGUCGUGACAUGUUGGGUUAAUUCCCGCAACGAGCGCAACCCUUGUCCUUAGUUUCCAGCGGGUUAAGCCGGGAACUCUAAGGAUACUGCCAGUGACAAACUGGAGGAAGGCGGGGACGACGUCAAGUCAUCAUGGCCCUUACGACCAGGGCUACACACGUGCUACAAUGGUAGGUACAGAGGGCAGCUACACAGCGAUGUGAUGCGAAUCUCAAAAAGCCUAUCGUAGUCCAGAUUGGAGUCUGCAACUCGACUCCAUGAAGUAGGAAUCGCUAGUAAUCGC
rnacentral:rRNA from 1 species